AUGCACGCUGGCGGCGUGCCUCAUCCAUGCCAGUCGCGCGAACAGAUAAGGAGCUUGCUCCUUUGACGUUAGCGGCGGACGGGUGAGUAACACGUGGGUAACCUACCUAUAAGACUGGGAUAACUUCGGGAAACCGGAGCUAAUACCGGAUAACAUUUGGAACCGCAUGGUUCUAAAGUGAAAGAUGGUUUUGCUAUCACUUAUAGAUGGACCCGCGCCGUAUUAGCUAGUUGGUAAGGUAACGGCUUACCAAGGCGACGAUACGUAGCCGACCUGAGAGGGUGAUCGGCCACACUGGAACUGAGACACGGUCCAGACUCCUACGGGAGGCAGCAGUAGGGAAUCUUCCGCAAUGGGCGAAAGCCUGACGGAGCAACGCCGCGUGAGUGAUGAAGGGUUUCGGCUCGUAAAACUCUGUUAUUAGGGAAGAACAAAUGUGUAAGUAACUGUGCACGUCUUGACGGUACCUAAUCAGAAAGCCACGGCUAACUACGUG
rnacentral:rRNA from 1 species